AUAAUAUAAGGCCGGUUUACACGACCAGUGUUUUGGGCACGGCACCCCUAAAAAUGGGCACCCGUGCCCAAAAUUUUAGGCACGGCACCUCUGCCUUUUGGCGUGUAAACGUGACAAUAAUCGGCACCGGUGCCGCAAAAUUUAAACGUGCCGAGACUUUCUCACGAGAUAGUCUCGGCACGUCUAGCAAGGGGUGCCGUGCCCAAAUUUCGAAAAAAAUAAAAAAUAUGUUCGACAUCGAGCAUGCGCAAAACAAAUUGUCUUCUUUCCAACAUGGCAGCAAGCGGG